ACGGAGGGUGCAAGCGUUAUUCGGAUUUACUGGGCGUAAAGGGCGCGUAGGCGGCUUGAUAAGUCAGUCGUGAAAGCCCGGGGCUCAACCCCGGAAGUGCGAUUGAAACUAUCAGGCUUGAGUAUGGUAGAGGGAAGUGGAAUUCCUGGUGUAUCGGUGAAAUGCGUAGAUAUCAGGAGGAACACCGGUGGCGAAGGCGACUUCCUGGACCAAUACUGACGCUGAUGCGCGAAGGUGUGGGUAGCAAACAGGAUUAGAUACCCUGGUAGUCCACACAGUAAACGGUGAUCACUAGGUGUUGCGGGUAUUGACCCCUGCAGUGCCGGAGCGAACGCAUUAAGUGAUCCGCCUGGGGAGUACGGUCGCAAGAUU
rnacentral:rRNA from 1 species